rnacentral:rRNA from 1 species
CAGUAGCCGCGGGAAUACGAAGGGGGCUAGCGUUGUUCGGAUUUACUGGGCGUAAAGCGCACGUAGGCGGAUCGAUCAGUCAGGGGUGAAAUCCCCGGGCUCAACCUGGGAAUGGCAGUGGAUACUGGCUCGCUAGAGUGUGUCAGAGGAUGGUGGAAUUCCCGGUGUAGCGGUGAAAUGCGUAGAGAUCGGGAGGAACAUCAGUGGCGAAGGCGGCCAUCUGGGACAACACUGACGCUGAGGCACGAAAGCGUGGGGAGCAAACAGGAUUAGAUACCCGAGUAGUCCCUGUCUCUUAUAA